CCUACGGGAGGCAGCAGUGGGGAAUAUUGGGCAAUGGGCGCAAGCCUGACCCAGCAACGCCGCGUGAAGGAAGAAGGCUUUCGGGUUGUAAACUUCCUUUUACAGGGAAGAGUAGAAGACGGUACCUGUCGAAUAAGCCACGGCUAACUACGUGCCAGCAGCCGCGGUAAUACGUAGGUGGCAAGCGUUGUCCGGAUUUACUGGGUGUAAAGGUCGUGUAGGCGGGAGAGCAAGUCAGAUGUGAAAUUCCAGGGCUCAACCCUGGAACUGCAUUUGACACUGUUUUUCUUGAGUGAUGGAGAGGCAGGCGGAAUUCGGGGUGUAGCGGUGAAAUGCGUAGAUAUACGGAGGAACACCAGUGGCGAAGGCAGCCUGCUGGACAUUAACUGACGCUGAGGCGCGAAAGCGUGGGGAGCAAACAGGAUUAGAUACCCCUGUAGUC
rnacentral:rRNA from 1 species